AUUGAACGCUGGCGGCAGGCCUAACACAUGCAAGUCGAGCGAGCGGCGGACGGGUGAGUAAUGUAUGGGGACUGCCCGAUAGAGGGGGAUAACUGCUGGGAACGGUAGCUACUCCCGCAUCCUAUCGGAUAACCCAUAUGGGAUUAGCUAGUGGGUGAGGUAAUGGCUUACCUAGGCGACGAUCCCUAGCUGGUCUGAGAGGAUGAUCAGCCACACUGGAACUGAGACACGGUCCAGACUCCUACGGAGGCAGCAGUGGGGAAUAUUGCACAAUGGGCGCAAGCCUGAUACAGCCAUGCCGCGUGUAUGAAGAAGGCCUUAGGGUUGUAAAGUACUUUCAGUCGGGAGGCGUUACCGACAGAAGAAGCACCGGCUAACUCCGUGCCAGCAGCCGCGGUAAUUC
rnacentral:rRNA from 1 species